CAUAGGUUAAUGAGGCGAACCGGGGGAACUGAAACAUCUAAGUACCCCGAGGAAAAGAAAUCAACCGAGAUUCCCCCAGUAGCGGCGAGCGAACGGGGAGCAGCCCAGAGCCUGAAUCAGUGUGUGUGUUAGUGGAAGCGUCUGGAAAGGCGUGCGAUACAGGGUGACAGCCCCGUACACAAAAAUGCACAUAUUGUGAGCUCGAUGAGUAGGGCGGGACACGUGGUAUCCUGUCUGAAUAUGGGGGGACCAUCCUCCAAGGCUAAAUACUCCUGACUGACCGAUAGUGAACCAGUACCGUGAGGGAAAGGCGAAAAGAACCCCGGCGAGGGGAGUGAAAAAGAACCUGAAACCGUGUACGUACAAGCAGUGGGAGCACGCUUAGGCGUGUGACUGCGUACCUUUUGUAUAAUGGGUCAGCGACUUAUAUUCUGUAGCAAGGUUAACCGAAUAGGGGAGCCGAAGGGAAACCGAGUCUUAACUGGGCGUUAAGUUGCAGGGUAUAGACCCGAAACCCGGUGAUCUAGCCAUGGGCAGGUUGAAGGUUGGGUAACACUAACUGGAGGACCGAACCGACUAAUGUUGAAAAAUUAGCGGAUGACUUGUGGCUGGGGGUGAAAGGCCAAUCAAACCGGGAGAUAGCUGGUUCUCCCCGAAAGCUAUUUAGGUAGCGCCUCGUGAAUUCAUCUCCGGGGGUAGAGCACUGUUUCGGCAAGGGGGUCAUCCCGACUUACCAACCCGAUGCAAACUGCGAAUACCGGAGAAUGUUAUCACGGGAGACACACGGCGGGUGCUAACGUCCGUCGUGAAGAGGGAAACAACCCAGACCGCCAGCUAAGGUCCCAAAGUCAUGGUUAAGUGGGAAACGAUGUGGGAAGGCCCAGACAGCCAGGAUGUUGGCUUAGAAGCAGCCAUCAUUUAAAGAAAGCGUAAUAGCUCACUGGUCGAGUCGGCCUGCGCGGAAGAUGUAACGGGGCUAAACCAUGCACCGAAGCUGCGGCAGCGACGCUUAUGCGUUGUUGGGUAGGGGAGCGUUCUGUAAGCCUGCGAAGGUGUGCUGUGAGGCAUGCUGGAGGUAUCAGAAGUGCGAAUGCUGACAUAAGUAACGAUAAAGCGGGUGAAAAGCCCGCUCGCCGGAAGACCAAGGGUUCCUGUCCAACGUUAAUCGGGGCAGGGUGAGUCGACCCCUAAGGCGAGGCCGAAAGGCGUAGUCGAUGGGAAACAGGUUAAUAUUCCUGUACUUGGUGUUACUGCGAAGGGGGGACGGAGAAGGCUAUGUUGGCCGGGCGACGGUUGUCCCGGUUUAAGCGUGUAGGCUGGUUUUCCAGGCAAAUCCGGAAAAUCAAGGCUGAGGCGUGAUGACGAGGCACUACGGUGCUGAAGCAACAAAUGCCCUGCUUCCAGGAAAAGCCUCUAAGCAUCAGGUAACAUCAAAUCGUACCCCAAACCGACACAGGUGGUCAGGUAGAGAAUACCAAGGCGCUUGAGAGAACUCGGGUGAAGGAACUAGGCAAAAUGGUGCCGUAACUUCGGGAGAAGGCACGCUGAUAUGUAGGUGAAGCGACUUGCUCGUGGAGCUGAAAUCAGUCGAAGAUACCAGCUGGCUGCAACUGUUUAUUAAAAACACAGCACUGUGCAAACACGAAAGUGGACGUAUACGGUGUGACGCCUGCCCGGUGCCGGAAGGUUAAUUGAUGGGGU
rnacentral:rRNA from 1 species